UAGAGUUUUGAUCCUGGCUCAGGAUGAACGCUAGCGGCAGGCUUAACACAUGCAAGUCGAGGGGCAUCGGGAGGAAGCUUGCUUUCCUUGCCGGCGACCGGCGCACGGGUGAGUAACACGUAUGCAACCUGCCCUCUUCAGGGGGACAACCUUCCGAAAGGGAGGCUAAUCCCGCGUAUAUCGGUUUCGGGCAUCCGAGAUCGAGGAAAGAUUCAUCGGAAGAGGAUGGGCAUGCGGCGCAUUAGCUUGACGGCGGGGUAACGGCCCACCGUGGCGACGAUGCGUAGGGGUUCUGAGAGGAAGGUCCCCCACACUGGUACUGAGACACGGACCAGACUCCUACGGGAGGCAGCAGUGAGGAAUUUUCCGCAAUGGGCGAAAGCCUGACGGAGCAAUGCCGCGUGGAGGUGGAAGGCCUACGGGUCGUCAACUUCUUUUCUCGGAGAAGAAACAAUGACGGUAUCUGAGGAAUAAGCAUCGGCUAACUCUGUG
rnacentral:rRNA from 1 species